UGUUGCUUGCAAUUGCAAUCUGUAGCAUAAAGGGAUCAAUUCUCAUUUCAGGGUUGUGACCACUACCAACCUAAAUUGUAAAUAAAAGUAAACACAUAAUUCAUUCUGUGCUAUUUUUCAGUGUGAGUCAGUGAGUGACCGGUGACUGGCUGCUGCAGCCAAUGAUGCGAUUCACAUACGUAUUUACCAUAGACUGUAUAUAAUGGUAUUUACGCAGCUAAUCAACGUCAGGCGUCCUUAUGUGCAGCCACCUUUGUUGUCAUAGAUAUGAAUCAGUAGAUAGGACACGCCCCCUUUGAGCUGCGUGCUACUGCGAGGCUAAGCCACUGGGGGCAAAGUUUCAGUGCAUUCGGUUGAUGUAGACGUGAAAACGGAAACAAGAAGUAUGCCGGCUCACUGUGCUGCAUACAUUUACACACUGCGUCGUACGAUUGAGAUAAGGAAACUUGGAAUGACUUUUCAUAGGUUUCCCAGAGACUAUGGGUUGAGGAGGAAUUGGAAGUUUGUCGGCUUAGACCUGGUGUCAUUCCAUCAGUGUUAAACUUCCCGGCUCAUCUUGGAAGAGUACGUGCCAGAAAGACCACGACCAAGCAGCCUUGAGAUCUUAGGCAGCGUCUCCCUGAGGUCCCUCUCUAUCUCCCCACACAUCCACCAACCACUGGAACACAUCUCCAAAGUUCUGCCGGGCCAGCUCAGCUUCCCCUCAGAAGAAGUUCCGCCACCUGCCAGAUGAAGGAGCCUUUUGAGAGGCAGCUGGCAUCGUGAUUGGACUGUACUUUGGUCUGUUCCAAUCCAGCUUCAGCUCCAGAGACGGCAGGCAGGACGAGUCAACGGAGGCCGGGUGGACGAAGGCAUGCAGCUGAGUACAAUACAGAAAACAACAGAGGAGGAGUGCAGCAGCCCAGGGCCAGAACAAACAGAGUAGCAUCGUAUGUCUCUUAGAAAACAUCAUAGUAUAGCCUUUGGUAUGAAAAAACACCAUCAUAUACAUCGUAUAUUGUACAAAUAACAAGUCAAAGGAAAGAGACAUACAUUGUAGAAUUGUAGUAAUUGUGGGCUGACUGAUUUACUGAUUAUCAGUAUUUUAGUUUUUACUGAUUUACGGUAAUAAAUACAUUUAAAAAUGGUGCUACUUUGGCUCUGAACUUUUAUCUACCUGUGGUCGCUCUGUCUUCUGGAGUGAUUUGAUUGGUUAUACGUAACGAAUAAAACUCCUUUAACUUAACAUCUGUAAACAAAAACGUAUCAACAGAGUUUUCUGUUAGAGUUUGUGUUCUUCUAAGUUUAACUCAAGAUUUUAAAUACUUUCAUUUACUGCAAAUGAAUAUCUACUCCAAAUGUCUCACUAAUAAUCAUUAUCAGCCUUAAAAACCCACAAAACACCCCUCUAUACUCGACCACACUUAGUACAGUCCAGUUCCCCCUUCUAUAAAUCGGCUUGGAAUCUUCCACUUCCUGUUUGUCAAAGUGGCCUUCUACCUGGACAGGUUUUGUUGGAGCUCAUGCAACAAACAUUUUGGGUAACUGCACUUUAAUAUGGAUGGAUGACACUGAAUUAGAGUCUGUUUUCAUGAGACUGAGUUAAGAUGUGUAGCUCUGUCAUUAAAUAGGAAAUUAUUUCUCAGAAUUCACAGAGAAAAGUCUGAAAUGUUUGCUAGGUUAGCGUCCCACAUGUUCUUUGGCUCAGCUAAAGCUAACUCUCUCCAACUUCUGGAUCGCUUGAGUUACUUGUUAAAAUAUCUUGCUAUAGGUGCUGAAGCUCAGAAAGUCUGAGAUGUUUGUUCAAAAUAAGCUCAUUCUCAAGUCUUAACUGAACUGUCCUCUUUUGUUUUAACUUUCCCUAAACUUAGGAGGUAAUGAAAGAGCAGCACAUCCAGACUCAGUCUCAUUUAUGUAGAGAUUAAACUUCAGUGUCAUUCAUUGAUGUUAAAGUGCAGUUUUUCAAAUGUUUGUUGCACAUGCUCCCGACCAAAGCAGUCCAGGUGGAAGACGAUGUGAAGAGAAAGCUCCAGAGGAUGAAUAUCACACAUUUACAUUGGAAAUUAAUGUCCUUUAAUUAGACAUUGUCACGCAAAAGUUGGAUUUCCCUUUGUUGAGUGCUUUGUUGAUGUUGGUUUCUAAAUGUUUUCUGACACUCGGCCCCAAAGAUUAAAACCUUCUACGGCUCACAAGCUGCAACAAUUCACACAUUAUCAACUAUCUUUCUGACUAAACUAAGAUAAAAAAGUGAAAAACUGCCUGAUUCCUGCAUCAUGAAUGUAAAUCUUUUUGGUUUUUAUGACAGUAAACUGAAUAUAUUUGGGUUUGAUAUUUUAUAAACCAAAACAAGAAAUGAAUUACUGGAGAAAACGACAGAUUAAUGGACAAAGAAAAUGUGUUUUCCAACAUAUAUGGCUGAAUUACUCCAACAUUACAAGAUACAUACAAUUUUAAUUCAAUUUUAUUCAUAUAAUGCCAAUUACACGUCAAAUUGUCUCAAGAUGCUUUAUUUUUAUAUUUUUUUUGUCAUAUUUAAAAUAUGACAAAGUAAGAAAUUUAAGCCUCUUGACUAAUCCAAUUUAUUAUUUAGUUUUCAAGAGACUAAUUGACAAUUCAAACUUUCUCCACUACAACUAAUAAACAUGAGGUCAAAUAGAAGGAACAGUUUUAAAUACUGCAGUCCCACGACAACAAGAAUAAAAUGUCUCAACAAAAACUAAAUCUGCUGGUGGAUUCCAUGAAAGUCCUAAUAAAGGAUAAUAAAGUGUGAUACUCAAGGUUUGUGGUGCUAAAAAUCUCCAAGUAAAGAUAUGAAGUUGAACAUCUGGAUGGAGGUUGAUAAAAGUUGACCUCCCUUCAUUUCUCUGGAGCGACUCCAUGGAUUUUAUGGAUGGUGGUUAAAGACCUGCUCUUCUAGUCGUCGUCCUUCUAGUCACUGUAAAAAGUCAGUCCAUCCUGACCGACUUCAACACCUCUUCAUGACAACUUGUUCUGCCUCCGACCUCGUGGAAACUCCAGAAA